UACGUAGGGUGCAAGCGUUAAUCGGAAUUACUGGGCGUAAAGCGUGCGCAGGCGGUGAUGCAAGACAGAUGUGAAAUCCCCGGGCUUAACCUGGGAACUGCAUUUGUGACUGCAUCGCUGGAGUGCGGCAGAGGGGGAUGGAAUUCCGCGUGUAGCAGUGAAAUGCGUAGAUAUGCGGAGGAACACCGAUGGCGAAGGCAAUCCCCUGGGCCUGCACUGACGCUCAUGCACGAAAGCGUGGGGAGCAAACAGG
rnacentral:rRNA from 1 species